AAAAGCAAAAAAAGGUGAAAGGCAAAAAUAAGAAAGAAAAGCGGCCCCCAUUUCCCCCUAAAUUCACGUGCUCACCUAACAGAUUGAUUCCUUUUGAUCAACUUAUUAAUUUUGGCAUCUUCCUUUGGAGGGGACCAUACAUUUUUAAUAUUGUUUUUCUUGUUCUCCAAGCCCCCAUUCAUUGGUCGAAAAUUUUAUAUAACAAAGACACUCACACACAAAGAGGGUUGGGAAAAAAAAGGAAUAGAGAGAGAGGAGGAGACAGAUAGAAAAAAUAGAGAGCUUCAAAUAUUAAAAAAAAAGAACGAAAAAAGAGAGGAGGAAACCGGGGGAGAAGAAACAGAUCGAGAAAGGAAAAACGGAAAACAGAGGCGACCAUCUUCUUCACGUUUCCUCUAAAAUCCUCCUCCAUUUUUCUACCAUAGAACACAUGAAAAACACACAAACGGACGAGGGGGGGCCUGGACAGAAAACAGAGUUAAAAUAGAAAGGGGAACAGGUAAAAAGGGUCACGAAACAAAGUCAUCAGAGUGAGGGGAUUUAGAAAAAUAACAGAGUGACGAGGAAACGGCCAGUGGCGCCUCAACCUCGAUCAAUCAACUGCAAAUUGCCAUACAAAACACCAUCCAAACUCCUUGAAAACCCAGCUGAAAUGUAGCUUCAAGAACUGCCACCAAACACAAUAAAAUAGAUCUUUGAACCAUUGUCAUGUCCUCUAAAGUAGCUGUAAAAACGCAGCAACUGUCCUUCAAAAAGACCUCUAUUAGCGCCACCUCCAAAGCGGCUUCUAACACUACUCCAAAAUAGUCGUGACGCUAGCCUUGAAUUGCAGCAAAACUAGCCACUUCUCUAAAAGUUUCGGCCAAGUUUUGAGGUUGCCGAUGAGGUUCUGUUCGAGGUCCGCCUUUGGGUUCGUCGUUGACUUUCAAAAUCUACAAAGUCACGUUCUUGCAUUGAAGGUUUGGGCUUGGGAGCGGUUCAUGCAAAUCCAUCCACCUCUCCUACCAAUAGCUCCAGAUGCACCACCUCUACCUUUUCUACCACUUGCUAGGAGGUAGGUAGAUAGGCGAGUCCGCUCCCGCGAGGUCGAGGCUAGACAUCAUCUCCUUUAUUAUAGGGAUUUGUUGGAUUUACUUGAAGACGCUAAGGUAAAUGUAUGACUAAGUUUGUUUGAAAAUGCUUGAUCUGUCUUGCGUUUACUCAUGAUUCUUGUUUAAUAAAUAGUCCAUAUGGAGGCCAUACAGUGACGAGCUUAUCGCUGGAUUGCCAGAUGCUCUCACGUUCGAGCUAUGUGGAUGUCUUUAGUCCCACUUAUAUGUCUCGAUAUAGGUGAUUAAUAUGCCACCGAGCGAGUCCUUCGACUAUUUGGUCGACGCAAGCUUAUACCUAUUCUGCCUAGUUAGCAUUCCACACAUUACGAGUGGAUGAUCGUAGCAAGGUCGACCAGACAUACUUGGACUGGCUAGAGGCCCAAAUAGAGGAUUGGGAUAAGAGAUAUGGCCUGAUUUUGCCAUACCCUCCAUAUUGACGGGGAACAUGAGUACAUGGUUUGGUAUCGCCGCAUAACUCGCCUUCUAAUCUGGAAUCCCGUUCAUCGCAAUGGUGGUCGGUACGUUCUAUACGCCGGGAGACAUGGUGCACUAGUAUGUUAUUUGGUAUAGUUACUUAUCAUGUUACAUUACUUUAACAUCCUUCCUUAAUAAAUAUUUUGUAUCCUAUGCAAGCUACUGGUUUACACCAUUUCUACCAGUUGGGACUGGAGAUGCUACAACUUACAGGCGACAGAGCGAUAGUUGUGCACGGGUUUGGUCGUCGGGUUGCUGAUCUUGCUUCUUACAUAUUGAGAGCUGCCCAAGAGGAUGCGCGGUUAGGUUACGAGGUUGCUUAUGUGCUGCCUGAGGAGUACCAUCAUGGGCCACACGUGGCCCUAGUACAUGUUAGACAUGGCAUGUAUGGCCAGAGAAGGGGUGGCCUACGUGGUCGUGGUGGUCUUCAAGGAUGAGGUCCCCGGAAAAGGGGCGUUGAGGCACCCUUGGAGGAUAUUGGAGAGGAUCAUCCGGGUGACUACCCUGAGCCACACAAUGCUUAUCAUGGUAUUCUAUCAUUUAGCCUUUAGCUGUCACCACGGACUUCACAGGUUACCUUGUCAGCUCUAGUUUUGAUCGCAGGCACCGCCAUUACACAGUAUGAUUGGGAUCACUAUUUUCCUAGUCGUCUAGAGCCAUCGAGGGUUGCUGUUGAUUGUCUGAUACGAGAGGUGCAUAAAGGUCGAAGCUUGAGUUAUGGCUUUUCAUCGAGGGCUGCUGAGGAUCUUUCAUGUACAUAUAGGUAGACAUCACAUCAGGUCGAGAUGUUUUAACCUUCAUCUACUCCAGUGCACCUCAAAGUCCCUACCGAGCAUUGUGUGCCUACUUAGAGGCCACAUUGUGCGAUACUCGCUUACCGGAGAUGGAUGAUCUUAUUCAUGAGCCCGCUGAGACCGUGGUUAUGAUAUCCCAACGCCCACUUCUACUGAGCCUGCUAGCCUUCCUGACGAUCAUAUUGCAUCGCAUCCUCAAAUAAAGAGGCGAUGUGAUGGAGAUGAUUCCGAUAGCAUAGCCGGACGAGAUGGUAUGGGCCUUAGGCCAGCCAAUGUUUUAAAGAAUAUAGGCUAUGAGAUACAUUUAUAUGUAUUUUGAGUUGUAUAUAUUACAUUAAAUAUCUAA